rnacentral:rRNA from 1 species
CCUACGGGGUGCACCAGUGGGGAAUAUUGCACAAUGGGGGAAACCCUGAUGCAGCCAUGCCGCGUGUGUGAAGAAGGCCUUCGGGUUGUAAAGUACUUUCAGCGGGGGGGAAGGUGUUGUGGUUAAUAACCACAGCAAUUGACGUUACCCGCAGAAGAAGCACCGGCCAGCUCCGUGCCAGCAGCCGCGGUAAUACGGAGGGUGCAAGCGUUAAUCGGAAUUACUGGGCGUAAAGCGCACGCAGGCGGUCUGUCAAGUCGGAUGUGAAAUCCCCGGGCUCAACCUGGGAACUGCAUUCGAAACUGGCAGGCUAGAGUCUUGUAGAGGGGGGUAGAAUUCCAGGUGUAGCGGUGAAAUGCGUAGAGAUCUGGAGGAAUACCGGUGGCGAAGGCGGCCCCCUGGACAAAGACUGACGCUCAGGUGCGAAAGCGUGGGGAGCAAACAGGAUUAGAUACCCGUAGUC